GACCCGUCUUGAAACAAGGACCAAGGAGUCUAACAUGUGCGCGAGUCAUUGGGCUCGACAAACCCUAAAGGCGAAAUGAAAGUGAAGGCCGGGCUCGUCUCGCGCCGAGGGGUGAUGGUCGCGCUAACCAUGCCGGCCCGCAACCCCGGGGCGCCGCGUUCUCUUUGAGAUACGGCGCACCUUGAGCGUACACGUUGGUACCCGAAAGAUGGUGAACUAUGCCUGGCCAGAGCGAAGUCAGGGGAAACCCUGAUGGAGGCUCGAAACGAUUCUGACGUGCAAAUCGAUCGUCAGAGCUGGGUAUAGGGGCGAAAGACUAAUCGAACCGUCUAGUAGCUGGUUCCUUCCGA
rnacentral:rRNA from 1 species